AUAUGACAAAAAGGUGCUUCAUAUCAACCAACUUGCGUAACAUUUCUGAGCCCCAUAUAGCAGUAUUUUUUUGGGAUGACGUUGGCCUUUCACAGACCAUCUAACCUGAGACAACCAAUCAAAAUGUCUAAUAAGUUUAGCCAACCUCUCUUUAGUACAGCAAAACAAUUCAAAUGGGGCUUUCUUUAUUAGCUGCAGAAGUGAUCCAGCCCUGUGUAUUGUUUUUUUUAGUAGUCUGAAGAUGCAAAGAUGAUCCAACCCUGUGUAUUUAUCCUUUUGGUCAACACAGUAUAUUCUGUCACUGACCAUCUCCAUACAGUGACCGUUAAGCUUGGGAAGCUUUUGAUCCUUGAAUGUGUCCAACUAACUGAACAGUUGCUAUCCAUCUUCUGGUUUAAACAUGUUAUUAGAAAGUACACUGAAGUCAUUGCAAUGUACAAUACAAGUUCAAGUGAUGUGACAUACAAAGAACGGUUUACAACUCCUCAGCAUAUCAAUGUAAUACAUGAGCUAAAAUCAUUUAAUGUGCUCAUUUCAGAGGAAAAGCUCAUUUAUUCAGCUAUAUACUAUAGAUAAAGUGAAAUUUGGAAAUGCAUCACUUGUUAUUGUCCACGGAAAUUAUGAUUUAUUUUUUUGCUAGUUAAGAAUCGCUAGUUAACUCAUUUGAUUAUAUGACUUCAACUUGUGUUCUUUAAGUUUUCUUAAGCACAUAGUAAGAGUAUUGAGUCCUGUCUAUAAUAACAAUAAUUGAAACUAAUGCUUUUUUAAUUUUGUCUUUUUGAAAAGUAUCUUUGUUGCUUUUUUCCCAC
ensembl:lncRNA